GGAGGAUGUGAAUAUGUGAUAUUAAUUAUAUUUAUACACAAGUGUGUGUAGAUGGAAAGUUUUUUACUAUAUUACGUACGUAGGUUGGAAGGUGAUGAUGGACAGCUAACACGGAGGUUGUAAGAUGGGGAAAUCUAUGAUGCCUCGUAACUUGUUUUUCUUUUUUCUUCUUCAUCAUCUUUACAUUUUUUUUUUUUUUUUUCAAACUUUUGAUUGAUUACAUCAACUUAACCUUAUAUUUCCAUUCUUUUAGGUUGGGUGUGUCAGCUUUACUUACCAUUUUCGCUUGAUGUGGUACGUGAGACUCGAUCGCUUGCUUGCUUGCUUGAUCAGGGUUCAGUUUCCGGUCAGUCAGCCAGGCCAGGCCAUUAUUGUCAAUACCAUUUACCUAUGCAGAUUUCUUACGGACAAACCUACCCUCUACGGCCUAAUUCUUCUGUUCUCUUCACUGUUGUGUUCUCUUCUGCGGUAACACUGACGAAGCACAACUAAUGCAUGUUUCUGCAAACAUUAUUACACAUCUUCUUCAACUGCGAGAAUGACGGGCGCCACAGGGGAGCUUUGGUCAUUGUGCGGAUGAAUGGAUGGGAAAAAAACUACGAUGGAAGAAGAAUUUUUUCUACUGCAGGAGUGAAAGCGAAGCUCUGUUGCAGGAUGCUGCAGCUGGCUGGAAGUUUUAACGCUCUAUGAAACUCUGAUGCCAUGUGAUUAUGUGAAGGAUGGUAUCAAGAUGCAUGGUAAUAUCAGGACAAAUAUCAGACAUUAGAAUGCCACCUGGAAUGUAAGUCAGAUUUCGGAAUAAAACCAUGUGAAGUGACAACGUAUAUAAAAGAAGACUAUAUCUGCGAAUUGCAUUUAAUUUUGGAACGAU
rnacentral:lncRNA from 1 species